rnacentral:rRNA from 1 species
AUACGUAGGGGGCGAGCGUUGUCCGGAAUUAUUGGGCGUAAAGGGUUCGUAGGCGGUUUUUUAAGUCAGAUGUGAAAGGUCACGGCUCAACCGUGGUAAGCAUUUGAAACUGAAAGACUUGAGUUAAGGAGAGGAAAGUGGAAUUCCUAGUGUAGCGGUGAAAUGCGUAGAUAUUAGGAGGAAUACCAGUGGCGAAGGCGACUUUCUGGACUUAUACUGACGCUGAGGAACGAAAGCGUGGGGAGCAAACAGGAUUAGAUACCCUGGUAGUCCACGCCGUAAACGAUGAGUGCUAGGUGUUGGGGGUCAAACCUCGGUGCCGCAGCUAACGCAUUAAGCACUCCGCCUGGGGAGUACGUACGCAAGUAUGAA